rnacentral:rRNA from 1 species
UACGAAGGGGGCUAGCGUUGCUCGGAAUCACUGGGCGUAAAGGGUGCGUAGGCGGGUCUUUAAGUCAGGGGUGAAAUCCUGGAGCUCAACUCCAGAACUGCCUUUGAUACUGAAGAUCUUGAGUCCGGGAGAGGUGAGUGGAACUGCGAGUGUAGAGGUGAAAUUCGUAGAUAUUCGCAAGAACACCAGUGGCGAAGGCGGCUCACUGGCCCGGUACUGACGCUGAGGCACGAAAGCGUGGGAAGCAAACAGG